rnacentral:rRNA from 1 species
CCUACGGACUGCAGCAGUGGGGAAUAUUGGACAAUGGGCGAAAGCCUGAUCCAGCCAUGCCGCGUGUGUGAAGAAGGCCUUCGGGUUGUAAAGCACUUUCAGUGGGGAAGAAAGCCUUGGGGCUAAUACCCUCGAGGAAGGACAUCACCCACAGAAGAAGCACCGGCUAACUCCGUGCCAGCAGCCGCGGUAAUACGGAGGGUGCGAGCGUUAAUCGGAAUUACUGGGCGUAAAGCGCGCGUAGGCGGUCUGAUAAGCCGGUUGUGAAAGCCCCGGGCUCAACCUGGGAACGGCAUCCGGAACUGUCAGGCUAGAGUGCAGGAGAGGAAGGUAGAAUUCCCGGUGUAGCGGUGAAAUGCGUAGAGAUCGGGAGGAAUACCAGUGGCGAAGGCGGCCUUCUGGACUGACACUGACGCUGAGGUGCGAAAGCGUGGGUAGCAAACAGGAUUAGAUACCCUUGUAGGUC